rnacentral:rRNA from 1 species
UACAGAGGGGGCAAGCGUUGUUCGGAAUUACUGGGCGUAAAGGGCGCGUAGGCGGCCCUCUAAGUCAGACGUGAAAUCCCUCGGCUCAACCGAGGAACUGCGCUUCAUACUGCAUGGCUUGAGGGAGACAGGGGUAAGCGGAACUGAUGGUGGAGCGGUGAAAUGCGUAGAUAUCUGGAGGAAUACCGGUGGCGAAGGCGGCAUCCUGGACCGACAUUGACGCUGAACGGCGAAAGCUAGGGGAGCAAACGGG